CGGCCGCGGUAUCCUGACCGUGCAAAGGUAGCAUAAUCACUUGUUCCCUAAUUAGGGACUAGAAUGAAUGGCCAAACGAGGAUUCAACUGUCUCUUAUUUUUUANUCAGUGAAAUUGACCUUUCAGUGAAGAGGCUGAAAUACUAAAAUAAGACGAGAAGACCCUAUGGAGCUUAAAUUAAAAGUUUAAUUUUACUCUUAUUAACCUAAUGGUUUAACACAAAAAAUUUAAACUCUAAAUUUCGGUUGGGGUGACCUCGGAGAACAAAAAAUCCUCCGAAUGAUUUUAACACAGACCAACAAGUCGAAGUAAUCCUAAAAUCUUAUUGACCCAAAAAUUCUUUGAUCAACGGACCAAGUUACCCUAGGGAUAACAGCGCAAUCCUAUUCUAGAGUCCAUAUCGACAAUAGGGUUUACGACCUCGAUGUUGGAUCAGGACAUCCCAAUGGCGCA
rnacentral:rRNA from 1 species